rnacentral:rRNA from 1 species
UGACCGCUAGCGGGAGGCCUAACACAUGCAAGCCGAGCGGUAUUGUUUCUUCGGAAAUGAGAGAGCGGCGUACGGGUGCGUAACACGUGUGCAACCUGCCUUUAUCUGGGGGAUAGCCUUUCGAAAGGAAGAUUAAUACUCCAUAAUAUAUUGAACGGCAUCGUUUAAUAUUGAAAGCUCCGGCGGAUAGAGAUGGGCACGCGCAAGAUUAGCUAGUUGGUGAGGUAACGGCUCACCAAGGCGAUGAUCUUUAGGGGGCCUGAGAGGGUGAUCCCCCACACUGGUACUGAGACACGGACCAGACUCCUACGGGAGGCAGCAGUGAGGAAUAUUGGUCAAUGGGUGCAAGCCUGAACCAGCCAUCCCGCGUGAAGGACGACUGCCCUAUGGGUUGUAAACUUCUUUUGUAUAGGGAUAAACCUACCCUCGAGAGGGUAGCUGAAGGUACUAUACGAAUAAGCACCGGCUAACUCCGUG